UAGGUUUUUCGGUACGUAAGUUCUUUUAUUAGAGAAGAAAAAAUGAUGGAAAAAUCAUUCUGACGGUAUUUAAUGAAUAAGCCCCGGCUAAUUAUGUGCCAGCAGCUGCGGUAAUACAUAGGGGGCAAGCGUUAUCCGGAUUUAUUGGGCGUAAAGGGUGCGUAGGCGGUUAAAUAAGUCUAUGGUUUAAUUUCAGUGCUUAACAUUGUCACGCUAUAGAAACUGUUUGACUAGAGUUGGAUAGAGGCAAGCGGAAUUCCAUGUGUAGCGGUAAAAUGCGUAAAUAUAUGGAGGAACACCAGUAGCGAAGGCGGCUUGCUGGGUCUUAACUGACGCUGAGGCACGAAAGCAUGGGGAGCAAACAGGAUUAGAUACCCUGGUAGUCCAUGCCGUAAACGAUGAGUACUAAGUAUUGGGUUAAACCACUGCUGAAGUUAACGCAUUAAGUACUCCGCCUGAGUAUUACGUACGCAAGUAUGAAACUUAAAGGAAUUGACGGGACUCCGCACAAGCGGUGGAUCAUGUUGUUUAAUUCUAAGAUACACGAAAAACCUUACCAGGUCUUGACAUAGCUUUGCAAAGUUAUAGAAAUAUAUCGGAGGUUAUCACAGUUACAGGUGGUGCAUGGUUGUCGUCAGCUCGCGUCGUGAGAUGUUGGGUUAAGUCCCGCAACGAGCGCAACCCUUAUUACUAGUUGCCAGCAUUCAGUUGGGGACUCUAUUGAGACUGCCAAUGAUAAAUUGGAGGAAGGUGGGGAUUACGUCAAAUCAUCAUGCCCCUUAUGACCUGGGGCGACAAACGUGAUACAAUGGCUGUUACUAACAGUAGCUGAA
rnacentral:rRNA from 1 species